rnacentral:rRNA from 1 species
GAUCCUACGGGGGGCAGCAGUGAGGAAUAUUGGUCAAUGGCCGGAAGGCUGAACCAGCCAAGCCGCGUGAAGGACGAAGGUGCCAAGCAUUGUAAACUUCUUUUGUCAAGGGACAAAAUCAGGCUCGAGAGCCUGACCGAGGGUACUUGAAGAAAAAGCAUCGGCUAACUCCGUGCUAGCAGCCGCGGUAAUACGGAGGAUGCGAGCGUUAUCCGGAUUUAUUGGGUUUAAAGGGUGCGUAGGCGGAAUAUCAAGUCAGCGGUAAAAAUUCGGGGCUCAACUCCGUCGUGCCGUUGAUACUGAUG